UUCAACCAUUGAACCAAAGGAUAAGAUCGGAGUACAUAUUUCAUAGGAGUACGAUUUUUAACAUGACACCGGGGGUUGUCGCAUUGACGUCACAGGGCCCGUGGACGACGGUCGACCGUAUCUACCGGGAUCGAGCAGAAACUUCAAGUUAAACAGACUUUGUACACAACCAAAGAAGUGGCGUCUGGAUACUACAUUCUUUCCUUGACUUUUCCUGCUGGUGUCAUCGCCCACUGUUUAGUUCCCGCAGAAAUUCCUCGUUCUGCAGCGUCAGGGCGAAUCUCUCGUCCUCAAGCAUCUGCUGCAUCUCGACAUCGUUGGCGUCCACGCUGCUCUGCUGCUGGACGUUACGCGCCAUGCGCUCCUGAAG